rnacentral:rRNA from 1 species
UACCGAGUUUUCGAGCUCCGGCUUGACUUUCCCACCCUUUGUGAACGUACCUCUGUUGCUUUGGCGGCUCCGGCCGCCAAAGGACCUUCAAACUCCAGUCAGUAAACGCAGACGUCUGAUAAACAAGUUAAUAAACUAAAACUUUCAACAACGGAUCUCUUGGUUCUGGCAUCGAUGAAGAACGCAGCGAAAUGCGAUAAGUAAUGUGAAUUGCAGAAUUCAGUGAAUCAUCGAAUCUUUGAACGCACAUUGCGCCCCUUGGUAUUCCGGGGGGCAUGCCUGUUCGAGCGUCAUUACAACCCUCAAGCUCUGCUUGGAAUUGGGCACCGUCCUCACUGCGGACGCGCCUCAAAGACCUCGGCGGUGGCUGUUCAGCCCUCAAGCGUAGUAGAAUACACCUCGCUUUGGAGCGGUUGGCGUCGCCCGCCGGACGAACCUUCUGAACUUUUCCAAAGGUUGACCUCGGAUCAGGUAGGGAUACC